rnacentral:rRNA from 1 species
AUUGAACGCUGGCGGCAGGCCUAACACAUGCAAGUCGAGCGGAUGAAGGGAGCUUGCUCCUGGAUUCAGCGGCGGACGGGUGAGUAAUGCCUAGGAAUCUGCCUGGUAGUGGGGGAUAACGUCCGGAAACGGGCGCUAAUACCGCAUACGUCCUGAGGGAGAAAGUGGGGGAUCUUCGGACCUCACGCUAUCAGAUGAGCCUAGGUCGGAUUAGCUAGUUGGUGGGGUAAAGGCCUACCAAGGCGACGAUCCGUAACUGGUCUGAGAGGAUGAUCAGUCACACUGGAACUGAGACACGGUCCAGACUCCUACGGGAGGCAGCAGUGGGGAAUAUUGGACAAUGGGCGAAAGCCUGAUCCAGCCAUGCCGCGUGUGUGAAGAAGGUCUUCAGAUUGUAAAGCACUUUAAGUUGGGAGGAAGGGCAGUAAGUUAAUACCUUGCUGUUUUGACGUUACCAACAGAAUAAGCACCGGCUAACUUCGCG